GACGAACGCUGGCGGCGUGCUUAACACAUGCAAGUCGAACGGUGAAGGCGGAGCUUGCUCUGCCGGAUCAAUGGCGAACGGGUGAGUAACACGUGGGCAACCUGCCCCUCACUUCGGGAUAACUCCGGGAAACCGGGGCUAAUACCGGAUACGACCUCCUUGGGCAUCUUUGGAGGUGGAAAGUUUUUCGGUGAGGGAUGGGCCCGCGGCCUAUCAGCUUGGUGGUGGGGUAGUGGCUCACCAAGGCGACGACGGGUAGCCGGCCUGAGAGGGAGAGCGGCGACGCUGGGACUGGGACCCGGCCCAGACUCCUACGGGAGGCAGCAGUGGGGAAGAUUGCGCAAUGGGCGAAAGCCUGACGCAGCAACGCCGCGUGCGGGAUGAAGGCCUUCGGGUUGUAAACCGCUUUCAGCAGGGAAGAAGCCGCAAGGUGACGGUACCUGCAGAAGAAGCACCGGCUAACUACGUGCCAGCCGCCGCCGUAA
rnacentral:rRNA from 1 species